GCGCAGCUGCGGGUUGAAGGGCUCCUGGAGCGCGGCUAGAGCAGACGCCGAGGCGGAGGAGGUGCCGAGAGUGAGCGAGGGCUGCUAGCACGUUGUCACCUCUCGGUCACCCGUCUGGUCAGGAACUGGAUUGGGAUGAGCUCCCCGGACAAGCGGCUGGAUGAUGUCUUGUACUUGUUGGAGAGACUGCAGGUAGAAACACUGGGAAGACAAAGCUUGGCUGAGACCCGACACCCGAAUUCCUGAAGGAGGACCAGCAAAAGUGGAGUAUUCCAGGCGGACUGACAUGGUCUUCAGCCGGUCCCUCCUUUUGGGGUCCCUGACUUCCUGCAACAGAAGGCAAAGAGCCUGAGGAGAGGAAGAGCCUGCGGCAUUCCACUCCUUCCAGUUUGGGGCUAGAGCAAAGGGCAGAGUGUUGGUAAGUGGUGAGAGACAAGGCUGAGUAACUUGACAAGAAUCACAUUGACAUGGGUGUUUUUAUUCCAUGGUGAAAAAUUUGGAACUUUUCCUGAGAACAAAUGUAAGCCAAUGAGACAGUAAAUGACAGGAGAUUUAAAAAUGUCACCUGUCAAGUGACUGCUUAUAAAUGGUUAUUACUUGGCUAAGGAUUUCUAAAUAAGCCUGAGAUCUGUUGGCCUGCAAUCUCUACCAAAACUCUGAGAACUUGAUGAUGCCUUUGUUUUCUGAAAAUUGCUUCACUGUGCUGGCUGACAGUUCCAUGAAGAUGGUAAAAGUGAAGAAAGUGUAGAGCUAGUAAAAAAGAGAUGCAUAGACUUCUUGGAAGUUUUUUAAGCUAUGGAACAUGAUGAAUUAAUGGUGCAUAAGCUUACUCUUCACUGUGAAAGUUUUUUUCACAUCUUUCAUUAGAUGUUUGUAAGAAAAAACAUACUUAAUGUAGCAUCUACUAACCCAGCAAUAAAAAGGAAUGGCAUUUACUGUACACUUUAUUUCUAAAAUAAACCUAAAUUUAAUAAAUUUUGGCAACAUGC